rnacentral:rRNA from 1 species
CCUACGGGCGACAGCAGUGAGGAAUAUUGGUCAAUGGCCGAGAGGCUGAACCAGCCAAGUCGCGUGAGGGAAGACGGCCCUACGGGUUGUAAACCUCUUUUGUCGGGGAGCAAAGCGAGUCACGUGUUACUCAUUGAGAGUACCCGACGAAAAAGCAUCGGCUAACUACGUCCCAGCAGCCGCGGUAAUACGGAGGAGACGAGCGUUAGCCGGAUUUAUUGGGUUUAAAGGGUGCGCAGGCGGAGGUGCAAGACAGCGGUAAAAUUGCGGGGCUCAACCCCGUACUGCCGUUGCAACUGCAUCCCUUGAGUGCGCGAGAAGUAUGCGGAAUGCGGGGUGUAGCGGUGAAAUGCAUAGAUAUCACGCAGAACUCCGAUUGCGAAGGCAGCAUACCGGCGCGCAACUGACGCUCAUGCACGAAAGCGUGGGUAUCGAACAGGAUUAGAUACCCUUGUAGUC